rnacentral:lncRNA from 12 species
CCUGAAGACAGUCCUGUGACCGAAAGAUCGGUCUGGCUAAAUCCUCAGGGUAUUUUGUCUCCUGUGGGCACUUUUACCCCUAAAUCUCAGAAUUAUCUACUGAGGUGGAAUCAAACAUUCAUAGCUUUGAGGAAGCAACCACUAAAGCCACUGAAAGUGUCACUGCUGCUCAUUCAGAAGAGCCCAUCACUAGAGGACCAGAAGAGCCUGGAACUUCUGUGGGAAGCAACGAGUCCAUCUCAGUACUUUUUUAAAAUGAAGAAGACUUGCCAUUAGUUAUGAACAUCACUCUCAUCACUCUACUAACCACAACUCUCUAAAAAUAUUCUGAACUUCUGAACAAGGCUUCCAUUCCAUUAUAGGAGACCAAAUAACUGCAAAGGUCUAGUAAGAUGUAAAAUGUACCAGCUGAGGAUAAACAGAGUGGUGAGAGUUAUAUCCACACAGAGGAGGGGUAUCUCUUAACCAUGUCCCAUUACAUAGGGGCUCAAUAAAUUUUUUUUGGAAUUGAAUUUUGAGAGAGGU